rnacentral:rRNA from 1 species
CAGCCCUUGACAUCCUGUGUUACCCGUAGAGAUAUGGGGUCCACUUCGGUGGCGCAGAGACAGGUGCUGCAUGGCUGUCGUCAGCUCGUGUCGUGAGAUGUUGGGUUAAGUCCCGCAACGAGCGCAACCCUCGCCCUUAGUUGCCAGCAUUUAGUUGGGCACUCUAAGGGGACUGCCGGUGAUAAGCCGAGAGGAAGGUGGGGAUGACGUCAAGUCCUCAUGGCCCUUACGGGCUGGGCUACACACGUGCUACAAUGGUGGUGACAGUGGGCAGCGAGCACGCGAGUGUGAGCUAAUCUCCAAAAGCCAUCUCAGUUCGGAUUGCACUCUGCAACUCGAGUGCAUGAAGUUGGAAUCGCUAGUAAUCGUGAAUCAGCAACGUCACGGUGAAUA